UUGCUAUUACUGAAGUGUCUAGAGUCAACAAAAUCUUUUAUUUCUGCCAGAUAAACAAGCUUUCUCCUGCCCUUCUGCGUCUUUCUUGUUUGUGUGUCACGCACUUCCUCCUCCCGUCUGAUUUCUCGACGCUCUCUCUUUAGUUCCACACGUUGAUUCACUGUCGGAGGUUGUGCUAAGCGGAGCAGAGCAGGUUCGGUUAUGGGAAAAGUCCUUGGCAAAGCCUGAACAACUUGUUUGUUUUUGCCUCCCUGUUCUGCAUUUUUGGUACAGACGUCUCUGAGGGAGCUGGGAUUAUACAGUUUCCUGUGGGCGGCUCCAACUAUUUGUGGUUUGCAGCAUGCUUCUGCAAAGGCUGUUGUGGCUGCUUGGAGCCCAGUAAGACCAGCACCGGAAGCUAAACGCCUGAUCCUCUGCAGCAUUUCCCUUUUGCUUCUAUCAGCCUUCGCUGGGGGAGAGACAAGGGAGUCAACUG